rnacentral:tRNA from 1 species
GGGGUUGUGGCUCAGUGGUAGAGCACUUUCCUAGAAUGUGAGAGGUACUGAGUUCGAUUCUCAGCACCGCA